ACCUUGUCCAAGUGACUUCAGUAGCUUGACUCGUUCCUCUACGUCGCCAGCGUACAAUGCAUUGUGGUAUUGACCGCUCACAUCCUUCCUGAUCUCAGCUGCAAACAAAAUAACAUGCAGUAUUAGCCUUAGGUUAAUACCAGGGUUCGUCCAUGUGAGGAAGAGUCAAAUUCAACGACUUUUCAAGGACAUUCAAGGCCAUGUAUCGGCAAAUUCAAGGACUAAAUACUGAAGAAAAGGCGUUAGAAAUCAGUAAAAUCUG
rnacentral:lncRNA from 1 species